GUCCAUGCUGUAAACGAUGAAUACUAGCCGCUUGUUUCUUUAAGAAGUGAGUGGCGCAGCUAACGCGAUAAGUAUUCCGCCUGGGGAGUACGGCCGCAAGGUUAAAACUCAAAGGAAUUGACGGGGGCCCGCACAAGCGGUGGAGCAUGUGGUUUAAUUCGAUGCAACGCGAAGAACCUUACCUACCCUUGACAUACCAAGAAGAUCCUAGAGAUAGGAUUGUGCCUUCGGGAAUUUGGUUACAGGUGCUGCAUGGCU
rnacentral:rRNA from 1 species